GGCGACGUAGCCAAGUGGUCUAAGGCCGAGGUCUGCAAAACCUCUAUUCGGCGGUUCGAAUCCGCCCGUCGCCUCCA
rnacentral:tRNA from 4 species